GAUUUCUGACGAACCGGAGUGGCCCGUUUCCAUCUCGGGAAUGAGUGCCGCUUUGAGUUUGUCAUCCUUCCAGAGAGCUGCGUCUACCGUUUACUCGGCCGGACGUAUGCGAUCUGGAUCUAUUACUUUGAAAAAAUUAGAGUGUUUAAAGCAGGCUUUCGCUAUGAAUACAUUAGCAUGGAAUAAUAAUUUAGGACUUCGGUCCUAUUUUGUUGGUUUCUAGGACUGAAGUAAUGAUUGAUAGGGACAGUUGGGGGUGCUAGUAUUCCGCGGCCAGAGGUGAAAUUCUUGGAUUCGCGGAAGACUAACUACUGCGAAAGCAUU
rnacentral:rRNA from 1 species